UACGUAGGGUCCGAGCGUUGUCCGGAUUUACUGGGCGUAAAGCGCGCGCAGGCGGCGGUGUAAGCAUGGCGUGAAAGCCCCAGGCUCAACCUGGGAGGGUCGUCGUGGACUGCACCGCUUGAGGGCGGUAGGGGCUGGUGGAAUGCCUGGUGUAGUGGUGAAAUGCGUAGAGAUCAGGCGGAACACCCGUGGCGAAGGCGGCCAGCUGGGCCGUCCCUGACGCUGAGGCGCGAAGGCGUGGGGAGCGAACGGG
rnacentral:rRNA from 1 species